GACGAGGGUGGCAAGCGUUAUCCGGAUUUAUUGGGUGUAAAGCGUCCCUAGGCUGUUUAAUAAGUUUCCGGUUAAAUCUCUGGGCCUAACCCAGAAACCGCUGGAAAAACUGUUAAACUAGAGACCGGGAGAGGCAAGCGGAAUAGCCGGUGGAGUAGUAAAAUGCGUUGAUAUCGGCUAGAACACCAAAAGCGAAGGCAGCUUGCUAGAACGGUUCUGACGCUCAUAGGACGAAAGCGUGGGUAGCGAAUGGG
rnacentral:misc_RNA from 1 species